rnacentral:lncRNA from 1 species
AUGAGAUUAAGAGAUGAGACACGUUUGUAUUCGCACAAUUCAUUCAUUCUCUAUAGACCUAUCGUUGUAAAAAUCAACCACGAUUUAUAAAAUAACUUAAACACGUAGCUUAGACACAUCAUUAUUAUAAUCCAUAUUUAAAAACAUUAUUGCACAUUUGUUUUUUACCAUAAAGUUGAGGGACUUGAGUGAAAGUUACCAUAUAGUUUAGGGACAGCUAGCUAGGGCUUGCAAACCACAACCCGUACUAUCAUCGCAUUUGCAAAAAUACACGACCACUUCGCCGGAGCCGGUGACGAUUGAAAAAUGGGGGAGAAGAAGAAGAGUGCAACAAUUCUCAUAAGGCUGGUUUCUGCAGCAGGGACCGGCUUUUUCUACGUGAAGAAGAAGAAUCCGAGGAAGAUACAAACCAAGUUAGAGUUCAGAAAGUAUGAUCCGCGUGUCAAUCGUCAUGUUCUGUUCACUGAGGCCAAGAUGAAAUGAUCGCGAUACAAUCUAGAUACGAAAAGCAUUAAUCUUUUCUAGUUUUGUAUGAUCAUGAUGAACUAUGCUUCUGUCACUGUCUUUUUAUAGUAUGUAAGCCACUGAAUUAAAACAUUUAAUUUCAACACUUGUUUUAGUUGAGUAUUGAAUUGGAUAUGAGUCUUUUUGGUUAGAGUUUGGAUGCUUGAAGCAUUUAAAGACUGUUAAAAUGGAAAUGAGUUGAACCCGUUAAACGGGUUGAAACUUGAAAGUGA